GGUGAUUUUCUCACUCCCCUUUUAUCCACUUACACUCCCUUUCGUUUUUUAAUAUUUUUUACUAUAAGAUAAAAGGGAGUGUAAGUGAACAAAAGAUGAGUGAUAACAUACAAUUUGAAAAAAAUGGAGUGUAAGUGGAUAAAAAGGGAGGGGAAAAUCAGU
rnacentral:miRNA from 1 species